rnacentral:rRNA from 1 species
CUUGAACGCUGGCGGCAUGCCUACCACAUGAAAGUCUAACGGGUGGCGGACGGGUGAGUAAUGUCUAGGAAACUGCCUGUUGGAGGGGGAUAAAUACUGGAAACGGUAGCUAAUACCGCAUACCAUCAGAUGUGCUCACCUGGGAUUAGCUAGUUGGUGGGGUAACGGCUCAUCAAGUCGACGAUCCCUAGCUGGUCUGAGAGGAUGACCAGCCACACUGGAACUGAGACACGGGCCAGACUCCUACGGGAGGCAGCAGUGGGGAAUAUUGCACAAUGGGCGCAAGCCUGAUGCAGCCAUGCCGCGUGUAUGAAGAAGGACUUCGGGUUGUAAAGUACUUUCAGCGGGGAGGCGUUACCCGCAGAAGAAGCACAGGCUAACUCCGUGCCAGCAGCCGCGGUAAUAC